ensembl:lncRNA
CCCUAGAGAACUCAUAGCCAGCCUAUUAAGGCAUAUUUUAGUUUUCUGUAAACCCUAUCCCAUUAAACCAUUGUUAUUUUAACCAGAGAGCUAUUUAGGUGCUCUCUGUUUGUAUGUAUUUGUGAGGAAGGAGGAGACUGAAGCUGUGACCGACCUAGUAUGACUUUGUGCCUCUUUGUAGACUGUUUUUUCUCAUUUCGACAUCUGGGCUUUUCUUUCUCAAUGGAGAUUCCUGAAGACAGCUAAGACAUGAGCUUCCUUGCCACUGGCUGCCUGCAAGGUGGUUGGCACUGGGGUACUCAGACUGUAGUUCUAAACAAAGUGAUAUAAAAACUUUUUUUCCCAACCUGAAUUAUGCAAGGAGAAGAACAAGUAGUCCUUUCCAUCAGUGGAAACACAGCUGAAGGGAACGUAGGGCAGAGAGAAAAUGGACAGUACUCUGAAGGUGUACGCAGACUAGAGGAAUGUCUUCUACUAAUACUGCAUCUAUAUAAAAUGGCUGGAACAUACAGAGCAGAAGAGAGCUAACUGUCCCUUUGAUGCUGUAAAUGAUGACAGUGAAGAAAUCAGAGUGGGUAUAGCUGUGAACAUGGGCCAUAAAAGGCUGCAGCCACUGCCGGGAGCUUACUUUAGAAACUCACAGGGCAGAUCUCCAAGAUCACAGUGUCUGCCAGGCAGAAGAUGGUGAAAGCAUGAAACAGCCACAACCUUCUUCCAUGAGGGCAUGAGGCAAGAUGGUUAGAGACCGCAGAUGGCAAGAGCUAUUCACAUAGGAGCAAAAAUGACACAGCAGCUGGAAGGAGGACAUCGAAGAAGCAGCAUUCCUGGACUUCAUGCUGUUUGGAACAGGUGCUCUUUCUUUAUUCUCUGUAAAAUGCUGUGCACAUCUAAGAUUACAUAAUAAAUUUGUAUAACUAAUAUAAACUUUGCAUAUGACCAAAAUGGGUUAAAUUUGCUGGGAAGAUCUAAAAUGCUUCAGCUUUUUGAGAUGUAAUAAGAGAUAAAAAGGAUAAGAUUUGUUUUCAGUGAAACAUGUUUAAAAGUCUUUAGGCAGGAAGGAAGAAAUAUGAAAUUGUUUGCAAAUGCAGCA